rnacentral:rRNA from 1 species
AGUGAACGCUGGCGGUAGGCCUAACACAUGCAAGUCGAACGGCAGCACAGUAAGAGCUUGCUCUUACGGGUGGCGAGUGGCGGACGGGUGAGGAAUACAUCGGAAUCUACUUUUUCGUGGGGGAUAACGUAGGGAAACUUACGGUAAUAACGCAUACGAACUACGGGUGAAAGCAGGGGAUCUUCGGACCUUGCGGGAUUGAAUGAGCCGAUGUCGGAUUAGCUAGUUGGGGGGGUAAAGGCCCACCAAGGCGACGAUCCGUAGCUGGUCUGAGAGGAUGAUCAGCCACACUGGAACUGAGACACGGUCCAGACUCCUACGGGAGGCAGCAGUGGGGAAUAUUGGACAAUGGGCGCAAGCCUGAUCCAGCCAUACCGCGUGGGUGAAGAAGGCCUUCGGGUUGUAAAGCCCUUUUGUUGGGAAAGAAAAGCAGCAGGUUAAUACCCCGCUGUUCUGACGGUACCCAAAGAAUAAGCACCGGCUAACUUCGUG